UACUCGUGGAAUGUCGUGUGAAUCUGCCAGGACCACCUGGUAAGGCUAAAUACUUCCUGAUGACCGAUAGCGGAUAGUACCGUGAGGGAAUGGUGAAAAGUACCCCGGGAGGGGAGUGAAAUAGUACCUGAAACCAUGUGCUUACAAUCCGUCAGAGCCUCCUUGUUGGGGUGAUGGCGUGCCUUUUGAAGAAUGAGCCUGCGAGUUAGCGGUGCGUGGCGAGGUUAACCCGAGAGGGGUAGUCGUAGCGAAAGCGAGUCCGAAUAGGGCGUUUCAGUCGCGUGUCCUAGACCCGAAGCGGAGUGAUCUAGCCAUGGGCAGGGUGAAGCGUGUGUAAGAGCGCGUGGAGGCCCGCACCCACUUCAGUUGAAAAUGGAGGGGAUGACCUGUGGUUAGGGGUGAAAGGCCAAUCAAACUCUGUGAUAGCUGGUUCUCCCCGAAAUGCAUUUAGGUGCAGCGUUGCGUGGUUCUUGCCGGAGGUAGAGCUACUGGAUGGCUGAUGGGCCCCACCGGGUUACUGACGUCAACUAAACUCCGAAUGCCGGUAAGGUUCAGCGUGGCAGUGAGACAGUGGGGGAUAAGCUUCAUUGUCGAGAGGGAAACAGCCCAGACCAUCAACUAAGGCCCCUAAGCGUGUGCUAAGUGGGAAAGGAUGUUCAGUUGCGAAGACAACCAGGAGGUUGGCUUAGAAGCAGCCAUCCUUGAAAGAGUGCGUAAUAGCUCACUGGUCAAGUGAUUGAGCGCCGAUAAUGUAGCGGGGCUAAGUACACCGCCGAAGUUGUGGCAGCAUCCCAAUAAGCCGUAAUGGUGGGGUGUUGGGUAGGGGAGCGUCGUGCUGGCAGUGAAGUCGCCGUGUGAACGAGUGGUGGAGCCGGUACGAGUGAGAAUGCAGGCAUGAGUAGCGAAAGACGGGUGAGAAACCCGUCCACCGGAUGACCAAGGGUUCCAGGGCUAGGCUAAUCCGCCCUGGGUAAGUCGGGACCUAAGGCGAGGCCGACAGGCGUAGUCGAUGGACAACCAGUUGAUAUUCUGGUACCGACGCAUAACCGUCAAUACCAAAACACGUGAUACUAACCAUGUCAUAUGCCCGUGAUGUCUUCGGAUGUCUGGUUGGUGUGUGGUGUGGGACCUGAGUGUGGAGUCGGUAAGCGCGAGGUGUGACGCAGGAAGGUAGCCAGGCCACGCGAUGGUAGUCGUGGUCUAAGGUCGUAGCACGUGGGGGUAGGUAAAUCCGUCCCCACAUAGUGUGUGAGAGCUGAUGGGCGCCCCAUUUUGGUGGGGUGAUCUGGUGAUCCUAUGCUGCCGAGAAAAGCAUCGGCGUGAGGUUGUGUGUUGCCCGUACCCUAUAACCGACACAGGUGGUCAGGUAGAGAAUACUAAGGUGAUCGAGAGAAUCGUGGUUAAGGAACUCGGCAAAAUGCCCCCGUAACUUCGGGAGAAGGGGGACCAUCCUGGUGAAGCCAACUUGCUUGGUGAUGUGCUGGUGGUGGUCGCAGAGGCCAGAGAGAAGCGACUGUUUAUUAAAAACACAGGUCCGUGCGAAGAUGUAAGUCGAUGUAUACGGACUGACGCCUGCCCGGUGCUGGAAGGUUAAGAGGACUCGUUAACUGUUUUAGGACAGUGAAGCGGAGAAUUUAAGCCCCAGUAAACGGCGGUGGUAACUAUAACCAUCCUAAGGUAGCGAAAUUCCUUGUCGGGUAAGUUCCGACCUGCACGAAUGGCGUAACGACUUCUCUGCUGUCUCAACCACGAACUCGGCGAAAUUGCAUUACGAGUAAAGAUGCUCGUUACGCGCAGCAGGACGGAAAGACCCCGAGACCUUCACUAUAGUUUGGUAUUGGGAUUCGGUGUGGUUUGUGUAGGAUAGGUGGGAGACUGUGAGGCUAUCACGCUAGUGGUGGUGGAGUCGUCAAGUGAAAUACCACUCUGACUAUACUGGAUUUCUUAACUUCGGACCCUGAUCGGGUUCAGGGACAGUGCCUGAUGGGUAGUUUAACUGGGGCGGUUGCCUCCUAAAGAGUAACGGAGGCGCCCAAAGGUUCCCUCAGCCUGGUUGGCAAUCAGGUGUCGAGUGUAAGUGCACAAGGGAGCUUGACUGUGAGACGGACGUGUCGAGCAGGAGCGAAAGCUGGGACUAGUGACCCGGCCAUGGCUUGUGGAAGCGUGGUCGCUCAACGGAUAAAAGGUACCUCGGGGAUAACAGGCUGAUCUUGCCCAAGAGUCCAUAUCGACGGCAUGGUUUGGCACCUCGAUGUCGGCUCGUCGCAUCCUGGGGCUGUAGUCGGUCCCAAGGGUUGGGCUGUUCGCCCAUUAAAGCGGUACGCGAGCUGGGUUUAGAACGUCGUGAGACAGUUCGGUCCCUAUCCGCUGCGUGCGUAGGAAAUUUGUGGAGGCCUGUCCUUAGUACGAGAGGACCGGGACGGACGAACCUCUGGUGUGCCAGUUGUACCGCCAGGUGCAUGGCUGGUUGGCUACGUUCGGGAAGGAUAACCGCUGAAAGCAUCUAAGCGGGAAGCCUGCUUCGAGAUGAGAUUUCCAACCCACUUUGUGGGGUGAGGUGUCCUAUAGAUUAUGGGUUUGAUAGGCCGGGUAUGGAAGCACUGUGAGGUGUGGAGUUGACUGGUACUAAUACGCCGAUCACUCA
rnacentral:rRNA from 1 species